GCUUGUCUCAAAGAUUAAGCCAUGCAUGUCUUAGUGUAAAUAACUCUUAUGAAACUGCGAAUGGCUCAUUAAAUCAGUUAUCAAAUACGUGAUGGUCGCCUACUACAUGGAUAACCGUAGUAAUUCUAGAGCUAAUACAUGCGAAAAGACGCGACUCACGAAGCGUUGUAUUUAUUAGAUACAAAACCAAUGCGGGGCAACCCGGUAUAAGGUGAUUCAUAAUAACUUUGCGAAUCGCAUGGCCUUGCGCCGGCGAUGAAUCAUUCAAAUUUCUGCCCUAUCAACUUUCGAUGGUAAGGUAUUGGCUUACCAUGGUCGCAACGGGUAACGGGGAAUAAGGGUUCGGUUCCGGAGAGGGAGCCUGAGAAAUGGCUACCACAUCCAAGGAAGGCAGCAGG
rnacentral:rRNA from 1 species